rnacentral:rRNA from 1 species
GAAUGCUGACAUAAGUAACGAUAAAGCGGGUGAAAAGCCCGCUCGCCGGAAGACCAAGGGUUCCUGUCCAACGUUAAUCGGGGCAGGGUGAGUCGACCCCUAAGGCGAGGCCGAAAGGCGUAGUCGAUGGGAAACAGGUUAAUAUUCCUGUACUUGGUGUUACUGCGAAGGGGGGACGGAGAAGGCUAUGUCAGCCGGGCGACGGUUGUCCCGGUUUAAGCAUGUAGGCGGAGGUUCCAGGUAAAUCCGGUACCUUAUUAACGCUGAGGUGUGAUGACGAGGCACUACGGUGCUGAAGUGAUAAAUGCCCUGCUUCCAGGAAAAGCCUCUAAGCAUCAGGUAACACGAAAUCGUACCCCAAACCGACACAGGUGGUCAGGUAGAGAAUACCAAGGCGCUUGAGAGAACUCGGGUGAAGGAACUAGGCAAAAUGGUGCCGUAACU